UCAGGGUGUCACAUUGUAGAUGUCAAAUUUAUAAUACAACAGAGUCUUAGUGGCCAAGUAAAUAAUAAAUUCCUAUUUCUAUUUAUAGUAGGAAAUCAAGAAUUAAAGAAAUUAAUUACAAUUAUAAUAGGAAUCUUUAGUGUGUAAGGAAAGUAAGUCAAUGGUCCACAAGUAAAGCCAACAUAUUUAGGAUGCAUUGCGGCUCUUGGGUGGUGUGUAGUUUUUUGUAUGAGGAUUAGGUUUUACUUGCUGGGGAUUUGGGGUGUAUAAAUUAUAAUGUUAAUUUGGUAGUGUUUUUAGCUGGUGCAGACAUAUUAUCGAUUUUAGUAAUUCAGAUUUUAGCAAUGCAGACAUGAUAUUUGUCAGCUGAAUCUGUCUCAAGUCCUUUUCAUUUAAGAAACUAAAAAAGAAAAAAAAAGAUUUAAUUGUCCGAAUGCUCAGCCUGC
rnacentral:lncRNA from 1 species